rnacentral:lncRNA from 1 species
GGGUCUCAUGUAUGAAUAUUGUUUCUAUAGGGACACAUUUUCUCAUCCUCCGUGCACAUUCAUACAACCAUCUGUGCAAGCUGUUCCACAAGAACCCUUGCCAAUCCCUGAUUUUGGUGAAUACUGAAUGCCUUCGCUUUUGUACUACUGUUUGUAUCAUAUCAAGUUAUCAAUCGUCUCUGGGCCUAAUAUAUCAUUUUACUUUAUCAGGUCACCUAAAAGGCAAAAUUACAGGCAAUAUUUGAUCUUCGAAAUUAUUACCAGAGACUAAUGCCACUUUCGGUAAAUCGUCUUUCGAAACCGACUCAAGAGAGAUAUAUAUUGAGCAUAAGUGAAAAAAUAUGCCAUAGGUUGCUACAACAUUACUACUUGGUGGUGCCCUUGGUCCUUUUGAAACUCUAUUGCUUGUUUUCUGUGCAAAGCCUAUCUUAGACUUCAGGGAUGUGAAAGCGGUAAAUGUUCCUUGGUGCCUUUUUUUUUGCUUUUGAUAGUGUGUGAACUACUUUAUUUUAGGACAAACGUUAGCUAUUAACAUCAGCAUUUCCCAUGUAUCUCGAAGCUAAUUGAUUACUGUUCAUCAAAUCUGAUAAUUGAGGGCUCUUCUGUUAUUAAGUUGCUUCCCUUUUUGCCAAUAGUUGUAAGUUAACUUAUUACUUGUUGGAUAUGGGUAUGCUAUCUUAGAUUUUGAGAUUGACCAAAUACUGAAUUAAAAUGGUGGCUAGAGGAAAACAAUUGCUCCUGAUACUUCAUAUUUGUAUGAUAUUAUUUCAUUUUCCUGAUCAUUUUGUAUUAUUUUCUGUGUACAGAUCUCAGCUCCUACAUACUGAUGAAUAACUUAGCACGCACAUCUUGCAGGUUGAGGGCCACAUAUGCAAAACAGCGGGUCUUCCUUCACAACCUAUGUAGCUAGAUCCAAUUUAUUAUAGGUAAUAUCUACAUUUCACCCAUACAUAGGUCCAAAACAUAUAUCUUUUUAGAAAGCAUGGCUUGUGUUUGUAUGAUGCAUAGGUUACUGGAUUGUUUAAGUAGUUAUACUUUUUCUGUGCUCCAGCCAUGUCACUUGGGAUCUCUGCUCUCGUGUUUGGUUUAUUAGAAGACUCAUGCGAUCUGCGAGUGAUUUUACAAGUACUGAUACUCAGAUUUAUGUAGUGAAUAAGUUAGAGUUAAUGACCUAGCACAACCUAGCUUAAAAUCACUUCAUAUUUUUGUUUUACAACCAUAUGUUUUCUUGUUUGUGUAUCAAUGGUUGUGCUUCCAGUAGGCAAGUCUGAAGAUCAAAAAUGAAAAUCUUCAUUUAUGUUCCUUCCAGUUUUAGGUAAACAAUUAGCCUAAUAACUUCAUUCUACUUUCUUUUCCAUAUGUAGUUUCUAUGUUUGCCUCUAAUGCAGAAAUACCACACUGAUCAUUUAAUAUCUUUUCAAUUAGCUAAAUUGAAGCAUCCAGAGAUUUAACGGCUUACUAAAAUCCACUUUCUGGAGGCGUUAGAUUGGUCUAAACUAAAUAUCAGUUGGACUAUUCAGGUAUAUUUAUCUUCUGUAUAUCGUUCAACUUUUCUGGUCAUCUUAAACUUUUGGAAUAUUUUGGAUCAACUAGCUGAUGCUUGCAACUCAAUGUUUACCGAGAUCGCAAGGUCUUAGUUUUAAUCCUUGAUAAUAAAAUUUCAAGAAUUAUAAUUUGAGAAUGCUUGUUAAUGCUUUCAACAAAUGCAAGAUUUUAACUGUUGCAAGGCACUGGAUUUUGCUGUUGGUGAAUACUAAAAGAAGAAUCUAUUAAGAAGGUUGGCCCAUCCUAUUUCUUCACACUAAUUAGAUCUUCUAUGUUGUUAGUUGUAAGUCACAUCCACUAUAUGAAUUAUAACUUGCAUAGUCAUAAGUUUUCUUGCUGAUGUUACAUUUGUUCCAUUACAAUGAGCUAACUCGUCAUAUCACAUACUCCCUCCGUCCCAUAAUAUAAAAGUGUUUU